GAGUUUGAUCCUGGCUCAGGACGAACGCUGGCGGCGCGCCUAACACAUGCAAGUCGAACGGAGUUAUUUUCUUCACUCCGAGCUUUUUGCCAGUUAGCCGGAGCGGCAAUCGGUUUUGCCCAGCAUAAAAAGCAAAACCGAUUUAGGCUCAUAAAGUAAGGCUAACACAGAGGGCAGAGAGUUGGGAGUGAAGAAAAUAACUUAGUGGCGAACGGGUGAGUAACGCGUGAGUAACCUGCCCUGGAGUGGGGGACAACAGUUGGAAACGACUGCUAAUACCGCAUAAGCCCACGAUCCGGCAUCGGAUUGAGGGAAAAGGAUUUAUUCGCUUCAGGAUGGACUCGCGUCCAAUUAGCUAGUUGGUGAGGUAACGGCCCACCAAGGCGACGAUUGGUAGCCGGACUGAGAGGUUGAACGGCCACAUUGGGACUGAGACACGGCCCAGACUCCUACGGGGGGCAGCAGUGGGGGAUAUUGCACAAUGGGGGAAACCCUGAUGCAGCGACGCCGCGUGGAGGAAGAAGGUUUUCGGAUUGUAAACUCCUGUCGUUAGGGACGAUAAUGACGGUACCUAACAAGAAAGCACCGGCUAACUACGUGCCAGCAGCCGCGGUAAUAC
rnacentral:rRNA from 1 species